rnacentral:rRNA from 1 species
UACGGGGGGGGCAAGCGUUGUUCGGAAUUACUGGGCGUAAAGGGCUCGUAGGCGGCCAACUAAGUCGGAUGUGAAAUCCCCAGGCUUAACCUGGGAACUGCAUCCGAUACUGGAUGGCUUGAAUCCGGGAGAGGGAUGCAGAAUUCCAGGUGUAGCGGUGAAAUGCGCAGAUAUCAGGAGGAACACCGGUGGCGAAGGCGGGUCUCUGGGCAGUAACUGACGCUGAGGAGCGAAAGCGUGGGUAGCGAACAGG